rnacentral:tRNA from 1 species
GAGCAUGUAACUUAAAGGAUAAAGUUUUAGACUCCGACUCUAAAAAGUGAAGGUUCGAAUCCUUCCAUGCUCG